rnacentral:rRNA from 1 species
AGGACGAACGCUGGCGGCGUGCUUAACACAUGCAAGUCGAGCGGAAAGGCCCUUCGGGGUACUCGAGCGGCGAACGGGUGAGUAGCACGUGAGCAAUCUGCCCUUAGCUUCGGGAUAGCUCCGGGAAACCGGAAUUAAUACCGAAUAUGACUACGGUUGACAUCAGCCAUGGUGGAAAGUUUUUCGGCUAGGGAUGAGCUCGCGGCCUAUCAGCUAGUUGGUGGGGUAACGGCCUACCAAGGCGACGACGGGUA